AUGCGGCUUUUCAAAGCUUUCCAUGACAACACCUUAGAUAUUGCACGCCUAAACUAUGGUGUGAUCACUCUGAUUCCUAAGAUGAAUGGGGCUAAGAAAAUCCAGCAAUAUCGCCCCAUAUGCUUACUUCGGUGCCCCUAUAAACUUAUCACUAAAGUGCUUGACAAUAGGGUUGCUGUUUAUGCUGAUAAGCUAAUUAGUCGACACCAAAAUGCAUUCAUUAAACACAGAAACAUAAUGGAUGGAAUCCUCACUCUUCACGAGGUGUUGCAUCAUGCGCAUGUCAAGAAAAAAGUUGGGGUGGUUUUAAAAUUGGACUUUGAAAAAGGUUACGACAAGAAAAACCGGGACUUCCUCCUUGAGUGCCAUCGUAGCCGUGGUUUUGGCCCAACCUGGUGCGGAUAG
rnacentral:rRNA from 1 species